rnacentral:RNase_MRP_RNA from 1 species
GGAUGUUCUGAACACCUGCUUGCUAGGCCAUGCAUGGAGGACGACAGUUCCUCAUGGGCCUCAUGCCCGCCUAGGGGAAAGUCCCUGGAAAGCUGGCAGAGAAUGCCGGGCACUACCGCGGCCUCACCCUCCACCGCCUCACGCCUUCCUCUGCUGAGAUGUCCACGGACCGAGUGGGUGCGCGCGGGGUGGGUUCUCGUCACAGCCACAGACACGCAGGUAGUGCAGCAGAUGUGCCAACAGAACGGGGCUCACUCUCAGGCCAUC